GCCCCCGUAGCCCAACCGGCAGAGGCGGACGACUUAAAAUCGUCGUAGUGUGAGUUCGAAUCUCACCGGGGGCA
rnacentral:tRNA from 1 species